rnacentral:rRNA from 1 species
CUUGCGGGGUGCCUACCAUGCAAGUCGAACGUGAUCCGCCCUUCGGGGUGGUGAAAGUGGCGCACGGGUGAGUAACGCGUGGAUAAUCUGCCCGAGGAUUUGGGAUAACAUCUCGAAAGGGGUGCUAAUACCGAAUAAGCCCACGGGGUCUACGGAUCUUGCGGGAAAAGGGGGGGACCUUCGGGUCUCCUGUCCUUGGAUGAGUCUGCGUACCAUUAGCUAGUUGGUGGGGUAAUGGCCUACCAAGGCGACGAUGGUUAGCUGGUCUGAGAGGAUGAUCAGCCACACUGGAACUGAGACACGGUCCAGACUCCUACGGGAGGCAGCAGUGGGGAAUUUUGCGCAAUGGGGGAAACCCUGACGCAGCAACGCCGCGUGGGUGAUGAAGGCCUUCGGGUCGUAAAGCUCUGUCUGGAGGGAAGAAAUGAUUGGGAGCUAAUACCUCUUGAUCUUGACGGUACCUCUGAAGGAAGCACCGGCUAACUCCGUGCCAGCAGCCGCGGUAAUACGGAGGGUGCAAGCGUUGUUCGGAAUUAUUGGGCGUAAAGCGCGUGUAGGCGGUCUUUUAAGUCUGAUGUGAAAGCCCCGGGCUCAACCUGGGAAGUGCAUUGGAAACUGGGAGGCUUGAGUACGGGAGAGGAGAGUGGAAUUCCUAGUGUAGGAGUGAAAUCCGUAGAUAUUAGGAGGAACACCGGUGGCGAAGGCGGCUCUCUGGACCGAUACUGACGCUGAGACGCGAAAGCGUGGGUAGCAAACACGAUUAGAUACCCUGGUAGUCCACGCCGUAACGAUGAGUACUAGUGUUGCGGGUAUUGACCCC